GCUUGGGUGGCGGAAUUGGUAGACGCACAGGACUUAAAAUCCUGUGUCCGUAAGGGCGUGCGGGUUCGAUUCCCGCCCUAAGCACCA
rnacentral:tRNA from 1 species